AGGGAGGGAGCUUUAAGCACCAGAUUUUGCAAAAAUCUGGGUGAGUUAGUAACUCCCCUCCC
rnacentral:tRNA from 1 species